UAGUUAUAUGCUUGUCUCAAGGAUUAAGCCAUGCACGUCUAAGUACAGUCAUUGUGACGAAACUGCACAUGGCUCAUUAAAUCAGUUAUAAUUUACUUGAUAGACCACUUUGGAUAACUGUGGUAAUUCUAGGGCUAAUACAUGUGAAAGCGGCUGAUCUUACUUCGGUGAGAGAAGUUGGCAUUAAUUAACUAAAACCAUCGAGGGGCAUUCAACUGCACUAGGCUGGUCAUCUUCGGGUGAUUGGCUUGGCGUGGGUCCCUCCUUGUGAGGAGUCAUAAUAACUAAGCAAAUCGCAGUGAUUUAAAUCGGCGAUGAUGCAAACAAGUUUCUGACCUAUCAGCUUUCGAUGGUUCUACAGGGGAUAACCAUUGCAGUCACGGGUAACGGGGAAUUAGGGUUCGAUUCCGGAGAGGGAGCCUGAGAGAUGGCUACCACUUCUAAGGAAGGCAGCAGGCGCGCAAAUUGCCCAAUCUUGAUUCGAGGAGGCAGCGACAAUAAAUAUCAAUAUGGGACCCUUUGGGUACCAUGUUUGAAAUGAGCACCAUUUAAAGCUCGUAACGAGGAACAAUU
rnacentral:rRNA from 1 species